UACGAAGGGGGCUAGCGUUGUUCGGAAUUACUGGGCGUAAAGCGUGCGCAGGCGGUUGUGCAAGACAGAUGUGAAAUCCCCGGGCUUAACCUGGGAAUGGCAUUUGUGACUGCACGGCUAGAGUGUGUCAGAGGGAGGUAGAAUUCCACGUGUAGCAGUGAAAUGCGUAGAUAUGUGGAGGAAUACCGAUGGCGAAGGCAGCCUCCUGGGAUAACACUGACGCUCAUGCACGAAAGCGUGGGGAGCAAACAGG
rnacentral:rRNA from 1 species